rnacentral:lncRNA from 1 species
GCCAAUCACAGGCCGCUUUCCUAGCUCAGUCACCAGUCUGUGGUUGAGGAAGGGUUUUGCUUUUUUAUGCUCUGUAUUGGGAAGGCAGAUAAAAUGCCAGGGCUGGACUGCCUCUGGGGAUAACCUCACCCUGUGUGAUGUGAAUGAAUAGCAUCUUGCCUAGUAAAUCCACAGGAAUUGAUAAGGCAGACGCAGUUCUUCCAACAGGCCUUUUCUGUCUCUUAGCUGUAGCUGGGGCUUCUGUAGCAAUUUUAUUUUUGCCUUGAAAGAAGUGCUCUGGAUUCUCAGACCUCCAUGUAUGACAAUUUGUACCUGCAUGGAAUUGAAGACUCAGAGGCUGUAAGUAUUUUCAUAGAUAGCUGAUUCCCUCUCCCCUCCUCUUCCUCCUCUCACUAACCACCCCCCCCCAACCCCAUUUCUUAGGCAACGCAGGGAACAUGGAGCUGAAAGCCAACAUCAUUCGGGUGCUUGCUAGCUGCUGUGUAAAUGCUCUCUGUGUAGUUUAGAGUGAACAGAGAUUAUUUUUUAUUAUAUAAUUUCUUGUCAUGCAAAAAAGAAAUUAGGGUGCUUGCAAAGGCAUCUGAGAGUGUAGGCUGUUCGGAUUUAUACAUUACUCAGUCCACGUUUGAGCUCACGAGGGGUAACUGCUCCUUGUAGCCUGGCUUAAACUAUACGGAAAGUGCCUAUGUUUUCCAAUAGAAGGGUUCACAGAAAAGGCUCAUUCAUUAUAUAAUACACAUUGUUUAUUGAGCUAGCAUGAAUGGAAGUUGUUCAGCUGUAGCCGUGUUACGUGCUUUCUGGCCAAACAAGUGGUGCAGAUCUGCUUCUUUGUUAAGGAAAUCAGAUACAAAGGUUGUGGUCAUAGAACACCCCAGUGCAGAGGCAGAGGGUAGAGUCACUGUACUCUGCCCUGGAAGACUGAAGUAAGCUCACGUGUGUUUUGGCUGAGAAAACUGGACUCCUUUCCCUCCGUAGGUCAGGCUCAUGUAAUCUAUUAACAUCAGGAUGAAAAUGGUUUUCUGAAAUCCCUAAAAUCAUACCACCAGAAUGUUAGCUUUCAAAUAUAGGGUAAAGCUGAUUGCCAAAUCUUUUACUAUGGCUAGUGGCAGUUCUUGAUUUUUCAUCAAUCAUCUAGAAACCGUGCAAGGUAAAAUGAUUUGGGGUGGCUAAUGGGACCCGCUGUGGGGAGUCUGAAUUUUAUAGGAGUGCAAUGCCAUACAUGUUGCUACAUUUGAAACAGGAAAUGUGUUAUAUAAGAUCCCCUGGCUAACCCACCAAAUAAACAGACCAUAACAACAAUAACAACAAAAAAGCCCCAUGGUACACAUCAAUGCAGACAUAUGUAUCAAAUGAUGUACUCUAUUAAAGAUAGAAAUUCUCUGUUCUGAUAAGGCAUUCCAUUUUUCCUUCCUGUCUGUGUGUUAGCUUUGACUCUAACUCUGUUUCUGCAAAGUCUCUCUGAGUGUUGCCCAGCGUGCUUGUAAAUUAUCACACUGCCAGUUUAUUGCAAGGGACUGUAGUUUGAAACAUUGGUGGCUGAAAUAGAGAAAGUCCACACGUGCAAGUGGGGUGGAAGAAUGGAAAAUGCAACUAUAGGAGUUCAGUAAACCAUCUGGGGUUCUUCAGGAAGCCUGAUUAUUUCUCACACCCCUUCUCUCCACACUCAGUUAUGAAACAUGUGAUGCCUUAUUGGAUUGUAAUUUUUAUUCGCGACCAUCGAUUUUACCUCGGGCACUGUGUUGCACUUAGGUAGAUCGGAGUUAUUUCGGAAUAACAGGUUAUUUUUGAAACUGGCUGGAAUGAACAGAGUUGGCUAGGAACUAAUGUAUCCAGCACCUUGUUCUCUAGAACUGUAUAAAUUUCCGAUGCACUGGUUCAGAGGGGAGCCAUUAGAAGUAUGAAAGCAUUUUUUCUUUUCUUUUGGUCAAGCCUCACAGGACAGCUGAGUUUUUCUGGAGAGGGGGGUGGGGAGAGAGUGAAGAGUGCAGUGAUUUGACUCUGGCGGUAGUUGAUGGCGGGUAGUGCUAGGUACUGCAGUGCUGUGCUCCUGGUGACUCAGUGGUGGCCAGCAGCCUGAGAUCCUCGGGGAUCUGCGGAGACGAGGAAGGUGGGAAACCCAAGGAACGAAGAAAGACAUCUGGCCAAUCCUCACCUGAAAGUAUGGGAAGCUUUCGGUUGGGUGGGACUGAAAGCGUGUCACUUAAAUUAGAGGGGAAGACAGAGGUGUUUGGAGGGGUGAACUGACUCAGAAUGCUCAUUUGAGUUUAUUUGUUUUUAUAAGGAAGAAUAAUGUGAUGUGUUACCCAAGAUGGUGUGAACAAAGCUUCAAGCCAAUGGAGAAGACUAGGCCUAAAUAGCUGACCCGGUGAAGUGAGAAAUAAAGCCACACCUGGAGUGCCACAUCCUCAGCAGUCUUUCUCAGUGCCAAUGCAUUUAUGGC